GGAAUUUGGAGCAAAGCGGACAUAGUGAGUCAGGUAGGAUUCUUCUUUGGUAAAGUUUUUCUUUUGUUGGGAGAGCAUCCUGGCAAAGGCUCCACAGGAACACUUUUAGCUUGGGAGGAAUUGAUAGAUGCCAUAGCUUUGUCCAUAGGGUUCGGGGAGGCUGAUAUGAAGUGGAUGCCCUGUUUCUGUCUUGCUGAUUGGAAUGAUCAUACACUUUGUUAUACCCACUUUUAACUGUGUAAUUCCCUGUGUUGUUUCCAGUCCAAAUCAGUUGAUCUGGUUUAGUCUGCAUCGUGAUAGGUAUAGAUAAGAUUUCAUUCACAAUUCUCUGUUCAAAAAAGUGAUUCAGCACCGGUUCUUUCCACUCUCUUUUUUCCUUAUCAAUCAAUUCCGCUACCAGUUGAGGCUCUUCUCGACUUUCUAGGCCUCCUAGCACUCCCUGUGAUAACCAGUGAUCUUGUCAAAUAUUAAUCGAUUUUCCAUCUCCCACUGUCCACCGAAUAGCUGGUUCAAUGGCAUCCCGCCCCAUUAGGAUGCUCUGCCAUCCCCACGAGGGUCGUUGGCCUUUUUUUGCUCGCCAUAAGUUGUCAUUAGAGAAGUAUAUACCCCUCAGAAUCUGACUCCAUAAUGCUGUGGGUGACUGGGAUAAUCGCCACGCUUGUUUUCCCAAUAAGGCUUUGUUUAAAGUGAUCAAAUCUUUAAAGCCUAGACCUCCCCUAUCUUUUUUGGACUUUAGGACCUCCCAACUCUUCCAAUGUAUACCUUUCCUCGCUUCAUUUUGCUUCCACCAAAACGCUGCUAUUCUUUUUUCAAUAGCUCGACAGAUUGAGAUAGGUAUUUUAAAGAUGGACAUUGCAUAAUGUGGCAGCGCUUGCACAACGGUUUUUAUCAAUAUUUCUUUCCCAGCUUUAGACAAAAAUUUCUCCUUCAAGCCCUCUAGCUUCAUGUUUACUCAUGCCAAGAUCCAAGAAAACAUUUCUUUUUUGGUUCGACCCCAAUCAGAUGGCAUCCCUAAAUAUUUCCCCGUUCUUUCAAUGCUUGGUACUCGCAUUUCUUGAGCUAUGUUCUCCUUUAAAGCUUGUGGACAGCCUUGACUGAAGAAAAUGCCUGACUUAUUCAGAUUGAUUGCCUGCCCCGUCGAGUAGCAAUAUUGGUUUAGUAUAGCUGCUAGGCCUUGACAUUCUCUAAUCGUGCCAUCCAUAAAGAAGAUUGCAUCAUCGGCAAACAACAGGUGAGAUAGAAUUGGGCAGUUCCUGUUUAGUUUUAUCCCCUUAAGACUUCCAUCCUCUAUUGCUGUGUUCAUCAUCCAAGAGAGAACAUUGGCUAUCAGUAUGAAUAGGUAGGGAGAUAACGGGUCUCCUUGUCGGAUACCCCGUGUUGGGGUGAAAUACUCUGUUGACUCGCCAUUUACUUUCACAUUAUAAGUGACUGUUGUCACACAUUGCAUGACUAAAUAGACCCAUUGUUCACUAAAGCCCAUAUGUAGCAUACUUAGCCAAAGAAAGUCCCAUUCCACUUUGUCAUAUGCUUUCUGCAUGUCUAGCUUCAAUAUUGCUUGAAAUUUCUUGUUCCUCUUCCUUAUCCUCAUUUGAUGCAACACCUCUUGAACAAUGAGGAUAUUGUCUUGUAUUUGCCUACCUUGGACAAAGGCACUUUGUUCUUGUUCAAUGAUCUGUGGUAGCCAAGGCUUUAAUCUGUUUGCCAAUACCUUUGAAAUUAUUUUAUAGCUGAAGUUACAUAAGCUGAUUGGUCGGAACUGGCUUAUGCUUUCUGGAUUUUUAACUUUCGGUAUAAGUGCAAUGUGUGUUUUGUUGAGGAUGGGGUCAAGAGUACCUGAUUCGAAAAAGUUUUGGACUAGCAACAUCACAUCCCCUUGUAUAUCCUCCCAGAAGUGCUGGUAAAAUUGCCCAUUUAGACCCUCUGGUCCUGGAGCCUUUAGAGUGCCAAGCUGAAACACAGCCUCUUUUACUUCUUCGGGUGAAAUGGUUGCCAUCAAAUCUGCAUUCAUCUCUGAUGUCACUAUUUUCUUGCAUUGGUUAAGGAUGGGUUGAAUGUUCUUGGAGCCCACCGAUUCAUAGAGAGAGUGAUAAUAAUCUACUAUAUGUUGUUUAAGCAUCUUUGGGUCUCUGCUCCAAUUCUGGUCGUCAAUCUUCAACAUUGUGAUUUUGUUUCGUUGCCGUCUUUGAACUGCUGUGGCAUGGAAAUAUUUAGUGUUUCUAUCCCCCCAUUGGAGCCAAUUAAUCCGGGACCUAAGUCCCCAAUACAUUUCUUCCUGUCUCCACAGUUGGUCUAUUCUCUCUUUAAUCUGCUGCAUUUCUUGUUUGCUGGAAUUUGCAUUUUUGCUGUUUGUGAGUUCCGCGAGUCUUCUCUUCAGUGCUUUUAUUUGAGAAGCUGCAUUAGAGAAUUUCUGUUUACUCCAUUUCUCUAGCUCCUCUGUGACUUGGUGGAUUUUUCUUGUGAACCUGUUAUGGUCUGUUGUCCAGCUUUCCAUAAUGACAUCUCUGCACUCUUUUUCUUCGAGCCAAUAUGCUUCAAAUCUGAAUUCUCUCUUUCUUUUGCUAUGAACAGGGUGAAGUGAAAGUAGGAGGGGGCUAUGAUCCGAGCCAACCGCUGGUAACGCCAGAACUUCAGCAUUUGGGAAGGUAACUCUCCAUUCCAUUGUACAUACCGCUCUAUCUAAGUGUUUUUUCACAUUUUCUUCUCUUCCUCUAUUGUUAGUCCAUGUGUAGUUGCACCCUUUACUCUCCAUAUCCAUGAAAGAGCAUUCA
rnacentral:lncRNA from 1 species